ensembl:lncRNA
UUUUGGGCAGGACAACCGGUUUUCUUCGACCUGACAGGUAAAGUGAAUAAGCAACCUAGUCAUUAUUUUUUACAACUCCAUUAACUGGUUGACUGUUUGAGCAGACUUUUAUGCAUUUACAUCUUCCCAAACAUGUAACGUACAAGCAUGCAUUUCCCCCCUUUAAGCACGGCACACAAUAGGCCUCAACAUCUUACAAGAGAAAAUCAAUCCUGCAUCUCUCCUCACAUCUGACCUCUGCACUCUCUACAAAUCCUGAAUUAAUUAAAGAGGGAAAUCCCACUGGCCAACACAGAAGAGGGAUUGAGUGUUUUGGCCCCCUCCAAGGUACCAGAGGAUUAGAAGAGCUCACUCAAUGAUGAGAGUGUUUCCAAACCUCCAGGUACCUGCGGUGACGGACAUACCUGCAGUCGUGUUUUUAUCGACGAUACCAAUGGCGUUCGUUGCAUGACUAACCCGCUGAUGCUGCUGUAAAUAGUAUAGAAUGAUUUUAGAGCCUCAGAAGGAUGUUUUUGAUAGCUUUUUGGGAGUUUUCCAACGGGGAUAAGACUGGAGUUCACGUUUAACAAGAGUCUUGCUCACGGUUGAGUCGCCCCAUGCCUUGCCCCCUCAUCCUAGAGAUGGAGGCAGUUCUGGGUUUGGCUGCUCUGUCUCCUGGCUGCUGACCCACUUGGAAAUCCAGCGCCGUAGCUUCAGCUUACACGGGUCACUCCUGUGGCAGGUUCCCAGUGGUACAUACCCUGCGAUAAGGAGCUGCAAGGGAACUAUUGUUCCCUGAGCCCAGUCUGUCAUCGGGGGCUUGUUGAGCAAAUACACCCAGCACUCAUAUUCCUCAGAUUCCAGUCCAGAAGGGAGAAAAUGACACAGAAGAGACAGAGAACAGCGUAUCACAUCACACACACCAUCAGAUGUGACCUCCUUGCUCCCUGAGUGUAACCUGGAAGCUGCACAAAUCCAAACGGUGUAAUUAAGUUCUUCCUGGCGACUGAUAGAAUGGGAUUUUCUUGGAGGGGAAGCAACAUCCUCGGCUUUCAUUCUCCUCAUCUAUCACUGUUAGCGACUGUCUGACAGAGUGAAGGAGGUUUUCAAGAUACACACUUGAGCUCCACCUUUUUGUGCCUACAUGCUAUCUGCCAUAAUUCCACUGAUUUUUUUUUCUGUUUCUGAAUGGCGCUGUAGGUUUUGUUUUAUACUUGGGUAACAUACAUUUUUCAAUCUAAUUAUAAAGCCAUAUACAGUAAAGGCAAUAUAAAGGUACUUACCCAGUAUGAAUUUUAAGACUGGUUAUUUAUUUAUUUAUUUAUUUAUUAUUUCCACUUGAGUUAUUAUAGUAAGUGCACAAAAUCAGCACAACAUUGCAUAAUGAGAAAAAAAAGAAUAAAGUCUGUACGUUUGCAAGUCAAAUAAAUGCUUAAUGGCAGCUACUGUAUUAUUGCUGAAAUGUUUUCAUGGCCUAUAGGUUUGUAAAUUUUCCUUCAGAUAAGAUUUCUGCCUUUGUC